GUUUUUUCUGCCUUACCAUUCUGCUUUGGCUGCUGGAGGUGGUCUUCACAUUCAGCCCAGUGCUGGGCAUGUUAACCUCCUAGAGUCUGCUGCUUCAUGGAACCCUAUACUCCAGGAGAAGAUGAGGUCAAAUUAUUUGUUUUCAAGUUCACCUGGAGGAGAAACAAGGACUGCCCCAGAUGUGGCAGCUGCUGACUUCAGCAUAUCAGCAACGGCUGCCCCAAAUGGAUUUUGAGGACAACUGGAAGAGCAAUUAUUGCUGCCGACUUUAGGGAUAGACAUUUUAAUGACUUUGUCAACUGGGAUUUGAGACCGGGAAGGAUCCAAAAUGCAUCUUUCAAGUUACAAAGAAAACAAGGGAAAUGAAACCUCCUUGUCCAGAUGAGAAAAUGAUUCACAGGCAGAGAAACCCAAAAUGUGAUGAGUCCCACCCAGUUUUCUUUUGCCCCAACUCCUCCUUAAAAAGGAAGGGUGCGCCUACGGAGUGAUAACUAAAUAAAUAAAUAGAUGAAGUAUCCAGCCAGUUUCGGUCUUAGGG